UUCACGCCGCGGCAGCCAUAUUGAUGUUCGUCCCCGAACCAGCUAUAAACCCUAAACUCCACACAAAUUAGGGUUUUCGAGAUCAAAUCUGGCGUCGAUUUGGUCGCAGCCGUCGUAUCUGUGAAGUCGUUCAUCGUCGACAGGUGAUUUCGUCGUUGAUCGUUUUGAUUUCUUCCCCUUCUGCUGUGAUUUUCCUACUCUGGUACGCUGUGCCUGCCCCCUGUUUAAUGCGUCUACUUUCUAUAUCUCUGUCAAUUUCUUCCUCGAAUCCAAGUCGAUUGUGUUGUCGUUUUUGAGUACUUCGGAUCGCACUCCAUUUCGAGAUCUAGGUUUUGGACGACGAUGAUGAGUCUUCAGACCUGUAAUGAUUAUUGCGGAUAUGAUCGCAUUAUCAAAGAACAUCUAAGGGACUGAGUUGCAUUAUCUCUGAUUUUUUUUUUUCAUUUUCUGGCAAUUGAGGAUAAUUUUCUAUUCCCAAUUUACUCACUGCCUCGAAGCAAUAUCAUUUGCUGCAAAGAUCACAAAUUACUUUCAACUCUUUAAGUCAAUACCAUGUGCGUUAUCAUUACGUACAUUGCCUACUCAAUUGCCCUUUAUUAGUUUUUCAUACUUUAGCAGAGAUUCAAGAUCUUAAUCCUUGCAUGUUCAUUAUGUCAUUUUCCACAAUGUUUUUUUUAUUCGCCGAAAUGUAGGUGUUCUAUGCAAUUUGCUUCACUAUCUGGUGAUUGAGGAUCAUUUCCAUUCCCAAUGCACUCGUUCCCUUGAAGCAAGAUUGUGUGUUGUACUGAUCAUGAUUUCACUUGCCAACCAACUAAGAUGGUUGGCACGACAAUGAUCGUUUACAUAAAUUUUCUUCUGUUUAUUCAAUAGUUUUCUUUGACUUUUUAGAUUGGCAAAUGAGGAUUUAUUGUUUGCAAUGGGUAAUUUGCGUCUGAGCAUGUAUUUGUGAUGUUACAUACAUAUCACCUUGGAGAUCUGAUGCCGAAAUUCAUUUUUUCUUCCUCUUGUUUCUACGCUUUUUUAUAUUUAAAAUUUUUAAAAUAUGAUUUAAAAUUUGGGUUUUCCCGAUUGGUUUGAUGGCUGAUAUGUUGGCUACAAAUGUAUUAGCUCUAUCUGAACUCUUAUCUUCCUUUUGCUAUUUAAUUCAGCUUUUGUAUACCUUCUUUGCAUUUUACUGAUGCAUCAAAAUUUGUUAUUGUAUUUUUGUUUAUCUUAUUCAAACAUGCAGUUUCCUAUCAUUUUUUUUUGUCAAAUCGGAAGAUUAUUUAUCUUCUAUGAUACUCACAAGGUAUAUGCCAACAAUAAUCUCCAGCAAAAGAUUGCUUUGGAUAAAAACAAGGCUUCUCCUAUAAUUUCAAUUUAAAGAAAGAUAUUAGGAACUGGCUUUGUUCUUGAACAUGUCACGUCUCUGUUACAACCUAUUCGUUGACGCUGCUGCCUGCUACAGACUAAUCUAUGUGGACGGCUUUGCAGCGGUGGAUAGCCAUGACGUUCUCGAACAAGACUAAGAAAAUUAUCAUUUUUUUUUUUUGUACCAAUAACGCUAGACCUCUAACAACUGCCCAUCGAGCAUAGAAUACUUUAAAUGCUCAUUCAACAUCUUUUUUUUGUAAUAUUUUGUCUUUCCUUGAACAAUCUCUUCUUAGGAUCUUCCGGAUAAGGAAAAGUCUUCACGAAAAUAGCUUAUUCUGGAUGUAUUUCAUCUGUUAGAUAAUAUUCAUUUGUAUAUUGGGUCU